UAACCCUAGAGUCAGAGAACGUACUCUGGAGGUAAACAUGUUAGUCGGUGAGCAUAAGCGAAAAAAUGGCGAGAACAUCUGAAGCAUGUAACAUCAGUACCGGAUCGAGAAAGUUGUGGACAACGGCUAAGUCGCUCCGAACUCCGAAAGAAGGAUGAUCGGACAUCUAUCUCAUUUAACGGCAUAGAAGUGACAGGUCAAAAGAGAUGCGAGUGUUUCUUCAACCGGCCAUUUAGAGUCCACCCGAGAGUGACAGGGCUAAGAGAAGGAUUCUACGCCGGGCACGACCUCUUCCAGCCGAGGAGGUACCACCACAAUUUACGUUGGCAGAUGUUGCACAGGUCAUCCAAAGCGCUUGGUCCUGACGGAAUCUCAAUGGUGAUGUUGAAGCAACUGGAUGAACCAACUGAAGCUUCUCAAUUUGUCGUUAGCCACCCUAGUAGUUCCCGAUGCCUGGAAAAUGGGCAGGGUGGUCCCGCUACUGAAGCAAGGCAAGGAUGCCACCAAAAGUGAUUCAUACAGGCCGAUAUCACUUUUGUCUCCAGUAGCAAAGACGCUUGAGGCUUGAGCCUAUCAUCAACACGGAUUCCGAAAAUUGCACAGCACAACAACAGCUUUACACGCCAUUUCCACACAUGUCUGCAGAGGUCUCAACCAGAACAGGCCGUGCGAUAGAACAGUUAUGGUGGCACUUGAUUUAUCAAAAGCCUUUGAUACAGUCAAUCAUGCCACACUGUUCGAGGACAUUGAGCACACCACCCUCCGGCCAAGUUUGAAACGUUGGAUAGUAAACUACAUGUGUGGACGCCAGUCGAACGUGGAAUUCAGAAACAAGAAGUCGAGCAUCCGUUGAGUUAAACAGGGAGUUCCCCAAGGUGGGGUGAUAUCUCCGGAACUGUUUAACCUUUACCUUUCUGACAUUCCACGCCCUCCAGACGGCAUAGAGAUUAUAACGUACGCAGAUGAUUGUACGCUCGUGGCGUCCGGACCCAUUAUUGAUGACAUUUGUGAUCGGUUAAACGCUUACCUUGUUGAUCUUACCGCCUUUUUCACUGCGAGGAAUAUGAAGAUAUCCGCCACUAAGCGGAUAUCCAGGGCUAUCCUGGAAUGUGCAGGUCGAUGGUGCUAUUAUUCCGACCACCAACUACCCCAAGCUAUUAGGGGUCACAUUCGAUAGCCUCUUUAAGUCGUCCGCGCAUACCCCAGCUAUCUGCGACAAGAUUAGAAGUAGGAAGAAGGUCCUCAAGUCUCUGGCCGGCAGUACUUGGGGAGCUGAUAAGGAAACCUUGUUGACCUCUUACAACGCGAUAGGCCGGUCUGUGGUAAACUAUGCGGCUCCGGUGUGGUCCGCCAACGUCAGUGCUACGCAGUGGAAAAAUGUUCAGUCCUGCCAGAAUGCCGCCCUUAGAACCGCAACAGGGUGCCUUCUCAUGACACCUGUCGAUCACCUACAUGAGGAGGCGAAGGUCUUACCGGUGCGACAGCAUAACAAAAUGCUGUCAAUGCAAUACCUGCUUGGGUGUUAUAGACAAAGCCACCCAAAUCACCAUCUUGUGGAUAGGCAACCUCCGCCCAGGCACGUUGGUAAAGACCUUCAUGAUCUAUAGAAAGAUGUACAGAGGUAUAAGAGAGAGCCUCUAGAUCAACAGACCUAUCAAGCGGAAUAGUAUUCACUCUAAUGCGGUCUCAGAAGCCAUUGAAGGAUAUAGACUGAAUACUGUGCUAGGAGACCAUCCCCCUCCCGUUGCAGGUGAAGAACGAGAGCUGCCCCGACAAACCCGAGUAGUUUUGGCUCAAUUACGAUCCGGAUGGUGCAGCCGCCUAAAUUCCUACUGGGCCCGGAUUAACAGCGACGUGCAGAACAUCUGCCCAGCAUGUGGCACAGGCCCACAUGACACGCUGCACCUAUUUCGCUUCCCAGCCAAGCCUACUCACCUAACCCCAGUCUCGUUAUGGACACAACCCAUACAGGCAUACUUUUUGAGACUGGACUUAGAGGCAGAACCUGAUUGAAUUAAGUCAGAAAAUGGAAACCGAACGAACACAGAUGUAUGAGCUGCUACAACAAAUACAACCAGAAUAGGCACAGUGACAGAACAGUGGGACAUACCCAGAGGAGAAUAUGAAGAUAUACGCCUCUAAACCGACGGCCACACUUUUCAACACAUGGACUGCGGAGAUGAGGCUAUCUUUGAAUGACAGGUCGAUGGUGUUGUAAUUCCGAGCACAAACUACAUAGCAUAUUAAAAUGCUGUCAAUGCAAUACCUGCUUGGGUGUUACAGACAGACCCAUCCGAUUCACCAUCUGGUGGAUAGGAAACCUCCGCCCAGCCUGUUCCACGAUGUCGAAAGAACACGUUCGCACAACUUUUACACGACAAACAGCUGAUUUCCGUUCCACUAAAAUCCAUCAGAACGAAAAUUUGCACGAAAAUCAAAGCGAACGAAAACGUAAGCGUUUCAGUGUAAUUUUGCGUUCCACUAUCUUUUUUCUUUCGUACGCAUGCGAACACAAAUGUCAAAAUCAGUCACUUGUGUGUUUGCUGUCGAAUGAUAAAAAUUAAGGAAAAUUGUUUUAACAUAAACAUUCCUUGAUUGAAAAUGGAAAGAAAAAUCACGAAAAAACUACACAGCUGCGGGCACUAGUUGAGUAUAUGGGGGAGAAUCCUAAGUUCGGCAGAGGAGUGCCAAUUUUUGGAAGCAGCAGGCAAUCCCAUGAAGACCACUGGAAGACACAAACCUAGAAAAAAUCAUUUUUUUAUUAUUUCAAAAAUGUAAAAAUACAAUCAUACUUACUGGUUGUUAGGUACUUCAAAUAGAUUCGAAGCAUCUCUUAAAUGCCUCCGUGGCACAAUUUGAACCUCCUCCUCAUCAUCCAUAAAAAAUAGGGCUACAGAAAUAUACAUUUUUUUCUUUUUUAAGAACACAAAUAAUCUGAACACAAUCACUAGAAA